rnacentral:lncRNA from 1 species
AGAGAGAUACAUAGCCAGAAUAAUUUUUUGAAUUAACACCAGCUCCAUUCUCAAGCAACAAUGCAACAAUCUAGAAAAAUCAAGACAUUGCAAAAUAUGGCCAAAUUUUGUUUGAAGAGGAAUGCAAAGUUCCGAAAUCUGAGCUAAAUAACACAAAAAUUGAAGUGCAAUGCUAAUGAGUGAGAUGCAUGUAUGUAUGCUUACAAUCUGCAUCUGUUU